CCUACGGGAGGCAGCAGUAGGGAAUCUUCCACAAUGGGCGAAAGCCUGAUGGAGCAACGCCGCGUGUGUGAUGAAGGGUUUCGGCUCGUAAAACACUGUUGUAAGAGAAGAAUGACAUUGGGAGUAACUGUUCAAUGUGUGACGGUAUCUUACCAGAAAGGAACGGCUAAAUACGUGCCAGCAGCCGCGGUAAU
rnacentral:rRNA from 1 species